rnacentral:rRNA from 1 species
GUUAAGCGACUAAGCGUACACGGUGGAUGCCCUGGCAGUCAGAGGCGAUGAAGGACGUGCUAAUCUGCGAUAAGCGUCGGUAAGGUGAUAUGAACCGUUAUAACCGGCGAUUUCCGAAUGGGGAAACCCAGUGUGUUUCGACACACUAUCAUUAACUGAAUCCAUAGGUUAAUGAGGCGAACCGGGGGAACUGAAACAUCUAAGUACCCCGAGGAAAAGAAAUCAACCGAGAUUCCCCCAGUAGCGGCGAGCGAACGGGGAGCAGCCCAGAGCCUGAAUCAGUGUGUGUGUUAGUGGAAGCGUCUGGAAAGGCGCGCGAUACAGGGUGACAGCCCCGUACACAAAAAUGCACAUGCUGUGAGCUCGAUGAGUAGGGCGGGACACGUGGUAUCCUGUCUGAAUAUGGGGGGACCAUCCUCCAAGGCUAAAUACUCCUGACUGACCGAUAGUGAACCAGUACCGUGAGGGAAAGGCGAAAAGAACCCCGGCGAGGGGAGUGAAAAAGAACCUGAAACCGUGUACGUACAAGCAGUGGGAGCACGCUUAGGCGUGUGACUGCGUACCUUUUGUAUAAUGGGUCAGCGACUUAUAUUCUGUAGCAAGGUUAACCGAAUAGGGGAGCCGAAGGGAAACCGAGUCUUAACUGGGCGUUAAGUUGCAGGGUAUAGACCCGAAACCCGGUGAUCUAGCCAUGGGCAGGUUGAAGGUUGGGUAACACUAACUGGAGGACCGAACCGACUAAUGUUGAAAAAUUAGCGGAUGACUUGUGGCUGGGGGUGAAAGGCCAAUCAAACCGGGAGAUAGCUGGUUCUCCCCGAAAGCUAUUUAGGUAGCGCCUCGUGAAUUCAUCUCCGGGGGUAGAGCACUGUUUCGGCAAGGGGGUCAUCCCGACUUACCAACCCGAUGCAAACUGCGAAUACCGGAGAAUGUUAUCACGGGAGACACACGGCGGGUGCUAACGUCCGUCGUGAAGAGGGAAACAACCCAGACCGCCAGCUAAGGUCCCAAAGUCAUGGUUAAGUGGGAAACGAUGUGGGAAGGCCCAGACAGCCAGGAUGUUGGCUUAGAAGCAGCCAUCAUUUAAAGAAAGCGUAAUAGCUCACUGGUCGAGUCGGCCUGCGCGGAAGAUGUAACGGGGCUAAACCAUGCACCGAAGCUGCGGCAGCGACGCUUAUGCGUUGUUGGGUAGGGGAGCGUUCUGUAAGCCUGCGAAGGUGUGCUGUGAGGCAUGCUGGAGGUAUCAGAAGUGCGAAUGCUGACAUAAGUAACGAUAAAGCGGGUGAAAAGCCCGCUCGCCGGAAGACCAAGGGUUCCUGUCCAACGUUAAUCGGGGCAGGGUGAGUCGACCCCUAAGGCGAGGCCGAAAGGCGUAGUCGAUGGGAAACAGGUUAAUAUUCCUGUACUUGGUGUUACUGCGAAGGGGGGACGGAGAAGGCUAUGUUGGCCGGGCGACGGUUGUCCCGGUUUAAGCGUGUAGGCUGGUUUUCCAGGCAAAUCCGGAAAAUCAAGGCUGAGGCGUGAUGACGAGGCACUACGGUGCUGAAGCAACAAAUGCCCUGCUUCCAGGAAAAGCCUCUAAGCAUCAGGUAACAUCAAAUCGUACCCCAAACCGACACAGGUGGUCAGGUAGAGAAUACCAAGGCGCUUGAGAGAACUCGGGUGAAGGAACUAGGCAAAAUGGUGCCGUAACUUCGGGAGAAGGCACGCUGAUAUGUAGGUGAAGUCCCUCGCGGAUGGAGCUGAAAUCAGUCGAAGAUACCAGCUGGCUGCAACUGUUUAUUAAAAACACAGCACUGUGCAAACACGAAAGUGGACGUAUACGGUGUGACGCCUGCCCGGUGCCGGAAGGUUAAUUGAUGGGGUCAGCGCAAGCGAAGCUCUUGAUCGAAGCCCCGGUAAACGGCGGCCGUAACUAUAACGGUCCUAAGGUAGCGAAAUUCCUUGUCGGGUAAGUUCCGACCUGCACGAAUGGCGUAAUGAUGGCCAGGCUGUCUCCACCCGAGACUCAGUGAAAUUGAACUCGCUGUGAAGAUGCAGUGUACCCGCGGCAAGACGGAAAGACCCCGUGAACCUUUACUAUAGCUUGACACUGAACAUUGAGCCUUGAUGUGUAGGAUAGGUGGGAGGCUUUGAAGUGUGGACGCCAGUCUGCAUGGAGCCGGCCUUGAAAUACCACCCUUUAAUGUUUGAUGUUCUA